GACUCUCAGAAAGUAGAAUACUUUUUGGUGGUAAACUAUCUACAAGAAGCAGAGCAAUAUGUUGUUGGAUGGAAAAAUGUCAGACAGGGAAGAAGGAGACUCCAGAAGGAGAUUGAACAACUAAAGGCCUUGCUGGAGAAGGAAAAGAGAAAAAAAGAAAAAUACAACAAGAGGUACCAGCGGUUGGGAGGAGGGAAAAAAUCACCACGUUCUACAGUGGAUGCACUGCUGCGCCAUCAAACAGUUAACAACACCAUAAGGAGAAGAUUGUUGUUGCAGGAAUCAAUAAUUGAGUUGACUUUCUUCCAUGACAUAUAUUGUUGUUCAGUGGUGUGAUGUCCACCCUGUUAUGUCCUGUCCACCCCGUUUCCCCUCUGUGUUUUUUUUAUGUUAAUAAAAUAAGUUCAACAAA